GAUGAACGCUGGCGGCGUGCCUAAUACAUGCAAGUCGAGCGAACAGACGAGGAGCUUGCUCCUCUGACGUUAGCGGCGGACGGGUGAGUAACACGUGGAUAACCUACCUAUAAGACUGGGAUAACUUCGGGAAACCGGAGCUAAUACCGGAUAAUAUAUUGAACCGCAUGGUUCAAUAGUGAAAGACGGUUUUGCUGUCACUUAUAGAUGGAUCCGCGCCGCAUUAGCUAGUUGGUAAGGUAACGGCUUACCAAGGCAACGAUGCGUAGCCGACCUGAGAGGGUGAUCGGCCACACUGGAACUGAGACACGGUCCAGACUCCUACGGGAGGCAGCAGUAGGGAAUCUUCCGCAAUGGGGGAAAGCCUGACGGAGCAACGCCGCGGGAGUGAUGAAGGUCUUCGGAUCGUAAAACGCUGUUAUUAGGGAAGAACAAAUGUGUAAGUAACUAUGCACGUCUUGACGGUACCUAAUCAGAAAGCCACGGCUAACUACGUG
rnacentral:rRNA from 1 species